AGCUCCACUGUGUCUUUAGUGCCUGAGAACAAGAAACAAUAAUUAGGAGGGUUUAUCCUUAAAACAAAACUAAUGCUCCAGAUGUUUUGAGUUUCGUGCGAAUUUCAAUCUGCAAGUGAGGUAGUUUCACUGCACUCCAUACGGAGUCACAAAUGAAACUCAGAGGUGUUCUUUGUUUGGUUUUUUUGGUUUUUUUUGUUAGAGGGGAUGAAAAGCUGCUGCUGCAGCAGUGCAAGUGAAAUUAAAAUUCCCAAUGCAGCCAAGAAACAGCGACUGUGUAGUCCAUACAGCUUUUGUAUCGGCUCAGUGGGAAAACGAGAAGGAGAGGAUCUCCCAGGGGGAUUCAGAGACUUCCACAUUCUCACUCAAGGCUCAAGUCAUGAACAUUAAAGUCAACCCAAACUGCAAAUUCUUUCUCCACAAAUAAGUCCAGAUGUGCGGUGCGCCUCCACAACACCCCCGCGCGGCGACGUGACCACGCAAAGCCUACCAGGGAGAAGUGUCAAGUUUGCCGUUCCCUUCCCCGAGGACACCGGAAAC